GACACAGGUGCUGCAUGGCUGUCGUCAGCUCCGUGUCGUGAGAUGUUGGGUUAAGUCCGUAACGAGCGCAACCCUUGUCCUUAGUUACCAGCACGUUAUGGUGGGCACUCUAAGGAGACUGCCGGUGACAAACCGGAGGAAGGUGGGGAUGACGUCAAGUCAUCAUGGCCCUUACGGCCUGGGCUACACACGUGCUACAAUGGUCGGUACAAAGGGUUGCCAAGCCGCGAGGUGGAGCUAAUCCCAUAAAACCGAUCGUAGUCCGGAUCGCAGUCUGCAACUCGACUGCGUGAAGUCGGAAUCGCUAGUAAUCGUGAAUCAGAAUGUCACGGUGAAUACGUUCCCGGGCCUU
rnacentral:rRNA from 1 species